UACGUAGGGGGCAAGCGUUGUCCGGAUUUAUUGGGCGUAAAGAGCGUGUAGGCGGCCAGGUAGGUCCGUUGUGAAAACUCGAGGCUCAACCUCGAGACGUCGGCGGAAACCCUCUGGCUAGAGUCCGGAAGAGGAGAGUGGAAUUCCCAGUGUAGAGGUGAAAUUCGUAGAUAUUGGGAAGAACACCGGUGGCGAAGGCGGCUCUCUGGACCGAGACUGACGCUGAGGCGCGAAAGCGUGGGGAGCAAACAGG
rnacentral:rRNA from 1 species